GACGAACGCUGGCGGCGUGCCUAAUACAUGCAAGUUGAGCGAUGAAGAUUGGUGCUUGCACCAAUUUGAAGAGCAGCGAACGGGUGAGUAACGCGUGGGUAAUCUGCCUUUGAGCGGGGGACAACAUUUGGAAACGAAUGCUAAUACCGCAUAACAACUUUAAACAUAAGUUUUAAGUUUGAAAGAUGCAAUUGCAUCACUCAAAGAUGAUCCCGCGUUGUAUUAGCUAGUUGGUGAGGUAAAGGCUCACCAAGGCGAUGAUACAUAGCCGACCUGAGAGGGGGAUCGGCCACAUUGGGACUGAGACACGGCCCAAACUCCUACGGGAGGCAGCAGUAGGGAAUCUUCGGCAAUGGACGAAAGUCUGACCGAGCAACGCCGCGUGAGUGAAGAAGGUUUUCGGAUCGUAAAACUCUGUUGGUAGAGAAGAACGUUGGUGAGAGUGGAAAGCUCAUCAAGUGACGGUAACUACCCAGAAAGGGACGGCUAACUACGUG
rnacentral:rRNA from 1 species